rnacentral:rRNA from 1 species
GACGAACGCUGGCGGCGUGCUUAACACAUGCAAGUCGAGCGGUAAGGCCCUUUCGGGGGUACACGAGCGGCGAACGGGUGAGUAACACGUGGGUGACCUGCCCUUAGCUCUGGGAUAAGCCUGGGAAACUGGGUCUAAUACCGGAUAUGACUCCAUGACGCAUGUUGUGGGGUGGAAAGCCUUGUGCGGCUAGGGAUGGGCCCGCGGCCUAUCAGCUUGUUGGUGGGGUGAUGGCCUACCAAGGCGACGACGGGUAGCCGGCCUGAGAGGGCGACCGGCCACACUGGGACUGAGACACGGCCCAGACUCCUACCGGGAGGCAGCAGUGGGGAAUCUUGCGCAAUGGGCGAAAGCCUGACGCAGCGACGCCGCGUGAGGGAUGACGGCCUGGUGU